rnacentral:rRNA from 1 species
AGAGUGAACGCUGGCGGCAGGCCUAACACAUGCAAGUCGAGCGGCAGCACAGCAGUAGCAAUACUGUGGGUGGCGAGCGGCGGACGGGUGAGGAAUACAUCGGAAUCUGCCUUGUUGUGGGGGAUAACGUAGGGAAACUUACGCUAAUACCGCAUAAGACCUGAGGGUGAAAGCGGGGGACCGCAAGGCCUCGCGCGACAAGAUGAGCCGAUGUCCGAUUAGCUAGUUGGUGAGGUAAAGGCUCACCAAGGCGACGAUCGGUAGCUGGUCUGAGAGGAUGAUCAGCCACACUGGAACUGAGACACGGUCCAGACUCCUACGGGAGGCAGCAGUGGGGAAUAUUGGACAAGUGGGGCAACCCUGAUCCAGCCAUGCCGCGUGUGUGAAGAAGGCCGUUCGGUUGUAAGCUACUUUGUUACGGAAGAAUCUAACGUAUUAAUACGUGGAG